rnacentral:rRNA from 1 species
AGUCUCCCGCAUGGGGAGUACGCACGCAAGUGUGAAACUCAAAGGAAUUGACGGGGGCCCGCACAAGCGGUGGAGUAUGUGGUUUAAUUCGAUGCAACGCGAAGAACCUUACCAGGGCUUGACAUCCCGCGAAUCCCGGCGAAAGUUGGGAGUGCCUACGGGAGCGCGGAGACAGGUGGUGCAUGGCUGUCGUCAGCUCGUGUCGUGAGAUGUUGGGUUAAGUCCCGCAACGAGCGCAACCCUCGUCCUUAGUUGCCAGCCUUAAGUGGGGCACUCUAGGGAGACUGCCGGUGAUAAACCGGAGGAAGGUGGGGAUGACGUCAAGUCAUCAUGCCCCAUAUGUCCUGGGCGACACACGUACUACAAUGGUCGGGACAGCGAGCAGCCAACUCGCGAGAGUGAGCUAAUCUCUCAAACCCGGCCUCAGUUCAGAUUGCAGGCUGCAACUCGCCUGCAUGAAGGAGGAAUCGCUAGUAAUCGCAGGUCAGCAUACUGCGGUGAAUCCGUUCCCGGGCCUUGUACACACCGCCCGUCACACCAUGGAAGUCGGCCAUGCCCGAAGUCAUUACUCUAACCGUUCGCGGAGGAGGGUGCCGAAGGCAGGGCUGAUGACUGGGGUGAAGUCGUAACAAGGUAGCCGUACCGGAAGGUGUGGCUGGAUCACCU